rnacentral:rRNA from 1 species
CGAUGUGGGAAGGCCCAGACAGCCAGGAUGUUGGCUUAGAAGCAGCCAUCAUUUAAAGAAAGCGUAAUAGCUCACUGGUCGAGUCGGCCUGCGCGGAAGAUGUAACGGGGCUAAACCAUGCACCGAAGCUGCGGCAGCGAACGUAUCACCCAAGACAACUUUACGGAGUUGACGAUUGACGGAGCGAAGCGACGUCAAAGCGUUCAUUAAAGUCGAGUUGGCUUAGGGAUACGUUCGUUGGGUAGGGGAGCGUUCUGUAAGCCUGUGAAGGUGUGUCGUGAGGCAUGCUGGAGGUAUCAGAAGUGCGAAUGCUGACAUAAGUAACGAUAAAGCGGGUGAAAAGCCCGCUCGCCGGAAGACCAAGGGUUCCUGUCCAACGUUAAUCGGGGCAGGGUGAGUCGACCCCUAAGGCGAGGCCGAAAGGCGUAGUCGAUGGGAAACGGGUUAAUAUUCCCGUACUUGGUGUUACUGCGAAGGGGGGACGGAGAAGGCUAUGUUGGCCGGGCGACGGUUGUCCCGGUUUAAGCGUGUAGGUGUGUGUUCCAGGUAAAUCCGGUUCACUUUAACACUGAGGCGUGACGACGAGGCACUACGGUGCUGAAGCAACAAAUGCCCUGCUUCCAGGAAAAGCCUCUAAGCAUCAGGUAACACGAAAUCGUACCCCAAACCGACACAGGUGGUCAGGUAGAGAAUACCAAGGCGCUUGAGAGAACUCGGGUGAAGGAACUAGGCAAAAUGGUGCCGUAACUUCGGGAGAAGGCACGCUGACACGUAGGUGAAGUGAUUUACUCA